CGUGGGGAGCAAACAGGAUUAGAUACCUGGUAGUCACGCUGUAAACGAUGUCGAUUUGGAGGUUGUUCCCUUGAGGAGUGGCUUCCGGAGCUAACGCGUUAAAUCGACCGCCUGGGGAGUACGGCCGCAAGGUUAAAACUCAAAUGAAUUGACGGGGGCCCGCACAAGCGGUGGAGCAUGUGGUUUAAUUCGAUGCAACGCGAAGAACCUUACCUACUCUUGACAUCCAGAGAAUUUAGCAGAGAUGCUUUAGUGCCUUCGGGAACUCUGAGACAGGUGCUGCAUGGCUGUCGUCAGCUCGUGUUGUGAAAUGUUGGGUUAAGUCCCGCAACGAGCGCAACCCUUAUCCUUUGUUGCCAGCACAUUAUGGUGGGAACUCAAAGGAGACUGCCGGUGAUAAACCGGAGGAAGGUGGGGAUGACGUCAAGUCAUCAUGGCCCUUACGAGUAGGGCUACACACGUGCUACAAUGGCGUAUACAAAGAGAAGCGACCUCGCGAGAGCAAGCGGAACUCAUAAAGUACGUCGUAGUCCGGAUUGGAGUCUGCAACUCGACUCCAUGAAGUCGGAAUCGCUAGUAAUCGUAGAUCAGAAUGCUACGGUGAAUACGUUCCCGGGCCUUGUACACACCGCCCGUCACACCAUGGGAGUGGGUUGCAAAAGAAGUAGGUAGCUUAACCUUCGGGAGGGCGCUUACCACUUUGUGAUUCAUGACUGGGGUGAAGUCGUAACAAGGUAACCA
rnacentral:rRNA from 1 species